UACGGAGGGGGCUAGCGUUGUUCGGAAUUACUGGGCGUAAAGCGCACGUAGGCGGCUUUGUAAGUUAGAGGUGAAAGCCCGGGGCUCAACUCCGGAAUUGCCUUUAAGACUGCAUCGCUAGAAUUGUGGAGAGGUAAGUGGAAUUCCGAGUGUAGAGGUGAAAUUCGUAGAUAUUAGGAAGAACACCAGUGGCGAAGGCGGCCCACUGGAUCGGUACUGACGCUGAGGUGCGAAAGCGUGGGGAGCAAACAGG
rnacentral:rRNA from 1 species